rnacentral:lncRNA from 1 species
GUCGCCCAGGCUGGAGUACAAUGGCAUGAUCUCAGCUCACUGCAACCUCUGCCUCCCGGGUUCAAGCCAUUCUUGUGACUCAGCCUCCUGAGUGGCCAUCAUGCCUGGCUAAUUUUUGUAUUUUUAGUAGAGACGGGGUUUCACCAUGUUGGCCAGGCUGGUCUCAAACUCCUGACCUCAGGUGAUCCACCCGCCUCGGCCUCCCAAAGUGCUGGGAUUGCAGGCGUGAGCCACCGCACCCGGCCCCUGAGGGAAUGCUUGAAAUUGCUUUCAUGUAAAAGCACCUACACCCAGGCCCCCCCCACCCACGAACAGCUUCGUGGACAGUUUACUCAGACUGAGUCGAAGGUAAUUUUAAGGUAGUUUCGGGAUAUUACCCAAGUAUGGCCCAGCUGGAAGGUGGACAUCGGGGGGAGGGCUCAGAAACACCAAAGUCCAACCUUCUCCACCUCACAGAUGGAGAAACUGAGCCCGAGAGAGAGAAGAGGAGUCAGCUGAGCCUCCCCCAGAUAAGACAAUCGCCAAAUAUUCUGGGACCUUGCUGGGGGCAGACAGCCCUCCCUGCCCAGCAAUGGGCCUUUGGGAUGUGGCACAAGCUCCCGGGAAACCAGGAGUGACAAGGGCGCCUGUCCCUGAGGAGUGGAGAGCGCGGAGUUGGUGCUGAGUCAGCCCUGAUGUGGCAGAGGAGGAGCAGGCCCCCGCAGAACCAGGGCUCUUCAGUGUCUCCAGGUCCUUGGUGAAGUGGAACUGGACCAGGCGCGAGUUCCGGAACAGCGGCACUAGGGUGGUCUGCGGGGAAGCGAGGGGACCCCCAGCUCUGGCUUCUCCCACCACGGCCUCCCGGCUCCCAGCCCGCUGAGUCCCCCGGGCCCAGGACCAAACUGAGACUCCCCUGUCCUCCCUACCUCAGGAAACGUCAUCUCCACCGCUCAACCAGCCCAACCCUGGAGUGCUGUGGAAGCCGCUCUCAGAUCCCUUGGCAGCCCCCCAGGUGCAGGUCGUGGCUGCCCCUGCCCCGCUCAGUCCCUGCACAGCCACCAGCUGGCUGCCUGGGACCCCUUGAAGCCAAGCCUGAGGAGCUACCCACCACACCUGCUUCAGCACCCUCAGCUCCGCUCCCUCACAGCCAGCUCAGGCCACCUGGGGAGGCGCUCUUGCCCCCAGCCCCGCCCUCUGGAAGAGCUACUGCGUGCAGGCUCCAGCACCCGGCCCCAGCCCCUCACCAGCAGCUGCUGCGGGAUGAGCUGCAUGUACAGCUUCCUUGGCCACUGCUCGGUCCUCCUGUGGGGCACAAAGGGACGAGGGUCAGGAAGCCCCAGCUCCCCUGGAUGCUGCCUCCACCCCCCAGCCCAGCACUCACAGGAUCUCCCCCUGGUUCACGUAGACGUGGGAUGGCAGCCACCUCUUGGACCGACUGUUGGGCUCAGGCCUGGGCUUUUGGGGGAGAGGCAAAGAGGAGCCCUCAGGGCUGGAGACCCCCAAUGCCAGUGUCCCCUCCCAGCCACAGUCCGUGAGGAUCUGGGGGUCCCAAGUCCCUGGGCUGCCGAGUGCUCACCUCCUGCCACUCCAUGACACCACUCCAUGCCAGAAACUUGUUGUUGACGAUCUGGACUGGGCCUGAGUUGACACCACCAGGUCCCACUGCCUGUUGGAAGGGAACGGGGUGGGAAGAGGGGCCCAGGCUCCUGGGAAACCUGUCUGUCUGUCCUGGGGCCUGCCAUCCCUCCCUCCGAGCCUUGGCCUGUUAGCCCCAGCUGGGUCCAUUCUCUAGUCCCAGGGGAACAGGCCCUGCCCCUCAUCUGCUCACAGCCCCCCAUGGCUCCCCAGUGGCCUGAGACAGGUCCCGGCCCUCACCUGGUGCACAGGACCUGCAGAGUCUGCCUCAACUGGCAAGGCAUGACCAGGACACGUGGUUACCAGGCAGGGCCUUCCAGCCGCAGGACGAUCCCAACCCCUGCCCAGCUCCCCGCUCCGCUGGCUUCCCUGCCGCCGCGCCAAGACCCACCCUCCAGCCCUGCAGAGCCGCCCAGUGGCCGCUUUUCCAUGGAGCCCUGGUGGGAACCCGCCCGGCAUCCUCCGGGCUCCCCUGCAGCUCCUUGCUCCAGCCAUCGCAUCACACUCCGCCCACACCAAGUCUGGCUGCCCAACCAGGGCAGUGGGGUCUAAUCCCCCUCUGUCCCCAGAGGGGCUGUGCUUGGCUGGCACACCUGCUUGCGGGUGGUGAUGACCUGCCGGAUGGCACUGACGAAGCCGCUCUGGUCGUAGGGGAUGAGGCCCAUGAAGAUCUUCUUCUUGGACGAGUACAGGAGCAUGAGCACGCGCACCUCACAGGGGGAGAUGUGGGGGAACAGCAUGCAGCCCGCCUGCGGGGGCCGCGGGUCAGGACCCUGUGGUCACUGCCCGGGGCCACUGUGCCCCCACCACCCUGGACCGCCCCACCUGUAGGGGAUGAAGGGAGAUCAUCGGUGGACAGAGGCCCCCACAGUCAAGGCCAUGGCCAUAGGUGAGGGGCCUCUGAGAGCCCGUGCAGCGCCCAUCGGCAUCCCCCGACCCUGCCAUGGCUGAGGUCAGAGUGGCACCCGGCACCCAGGCUGCGGUGAGAAUGCCAAGAAGGCACUACCUCCCACCCACAUCACCCCCUGCCGCCAGCCCUCCUGACUGCCUGAUGGGGUGACUUGGCCUGGGGGUUAAGAGCACAGGCAGCGCCCCACCGUUCUGCUGCCUCCUAGCUGUGUGACCUAACACCAGCCACCUCCUGCUUCUGGGCCUCCAUCAUCUGUAAAACCGGGUAAUAGUGCACACAGUUGGUGCCACAUAAAGGCUCAACAGAUAAAGUGCUGGUGCCUCUUGAGGAUGGCGCAUGGGAGAACUAAGCCUGACAGAUGUGCCUGGCUGUGGUGUCUAGAUGAAGUGGUGUGACCGUCCCAAAACCCCAUGUCCCCUCCCCACACCGGGCCACCCCCACAGUGCUGUCCCCUCCACGCUGCCGGCCUAACUUCUCAACCUUGGUGUCCAGCCCAGGGAUCACCCGCUCAGGGCCCUGUCCCUGGCCUCCCUGGAGCCAUGCACAGUCAGCCUCCCAGGGCCAUGCCUGGGGGGUGAGUAUGGAUGUCCACUUUCCCUACAGACUGGGUACUCGGGGCCCAGAUAUGGCAGGCCCUCAACAAACGGUGCUGGGUGAAGGGGGAACGGGUCACUUAAGAGACCUCAUGCCAGGCACAAGCCCUGGUCUGCCCCUGGUCUCCUGAGGGAGAAGGGAGGCCCUAGCGGAACCCAGGGCGCUCAACGGCAGCUGGGACGGGUAGAGGCAGACUGUCCCAACAGGGAACAGGGACUGGGAAUGUCCCAGAGCCAGGUCCUCUGGGCAGACAACUCGCUCCCACCCCACCCCUGCCUCCUCUCCAGCACCUGCCAUCUUUCACAGCCCAAGCCCCCUUUCUGACCUGCCCUGCGCCAGAAUCUCAGUCACCUGAACAGCCUCACCAGCUGGGUUCACCCAGCACUCACUAGGUACUAAAGUCACCAUCUCAAGCGCUUUACACAAAUUCCCUCCCUCCAGCCUCCCGGUGGCCCUAGGAAGCACGGCUCCCCUGUCCUCCCUACCUCAGAAAAUGUCAUCUCUACCCCUCAACCAGCCCAACCCUGGAGUGCUGCGGAAGCCGCUCUCAGAUCCCUUGGCAGCCCCCCGGGUCCAGGUCAUGGCCGCGCCUGCCCCACUCAGUCCCUGCACAGCCACUGGCUGGAUACCUGGGUCCCCUUGGAGCCAGGCCUGAGGACCUACUCACCGCGCCUGCUUCAGCACCCUCAGCUCUGCUCCCUCACGGCCAGCUCAGGCCACUCGGGGAGGUUAGCCCAUUUUACAGACCAGAAUACCAAGCCCCAACGUGCCACUCCCUCCUGGCUGGCUCUUGUGCCUAGCACACCCAUUUACCAGGUCCCUGCCAUACGCUAUGUGUCCCCGACAGGCUCCUGGGCCCCAACAGGGCUGGCCCCAGUCCCUCCCUGCACUCACGCCCCCAGGGCCACCUCGAAGCUGGGCACAGAUGCAGAAACUGGAGGCCUCUCAGGCUGAGUUCCUUCACCCUGUGCUCUACGGAGGGUGCCUGGAGUCAGUCAUUUCCAGAUGGGGUCCGAGAGGCCACGAGGGCUACCCUCGGCCCCAGGGGAGACCCCCCGACCCCCGCCUGGACUGUGUGAGCAGAGCGCUGCCUCCAGCUGUACUUGUCACCACAGUGCUACAAGGGAGCCCGCCCCACUCACGAAGCCGUUGCCCAUGAUGCGGCAGAGCCCCUUGAGCGAGUCGCAGUCUCUGUUGGUGAAGUGGAACUGUGCCAACUGGGAGUUCCGGAACAGGGGGCCCAGGGUGGUCUG